rnacentral:lncRNA from 1 species
GAAGAGAAAAAGAUAUUUUUAUCAAAUUUAAUUUUGCUAUUAGCUAAAGAUAUUGGGAAUGAUGCCAAAUAAUGUACCCACAGAUAGUUAUAGUCUACAGCAUGUGUAGUCAUAACUAUCGCAUUCGCACUCUAUGAGUUACUUGGCUUUGUCUAUGACUUGUAUAGAUAAAGCUAUUUGUAGAAACUUUACACAUAAUCAAUUUACUUUUACUUACCAAAAAAAAAAAAAAAAAAAAAAUUUGAGAUUUUAAAAGUGUUGUAAAACUCCAACUAUUCACCAUAAGUUCAUAUCAUCAUAAAUUAGACUUAAGAUUCUGAAAUUCCAAAUAAGAGAGAUCGUCUAACAAUUUUACACAGUAUAUCUGUUUCGAUUCAUCGACAGCAUUUCAUUUCAUACAAAAUAUGCUUAUACAACAAUAAUAUAAUAACCAACAAGACUUGCCCAUAAUUCUGAAUAGCUCUCCACUGCCUUAGCCCAAUUCAAACAUCUCAAAGAGUGACAAGCUGACCUGAAAGAUUUAUAUAACAACGGAGUGAGCUAAAAACAGCUCAGUAAGUGACAAAGCAUAUCUAGCACGAGAAAGGACAGUUUCAAACAAAUAAGAUAUCACAAUGCAAGACAUAAUCCAAGAGAUUCAAGGAUAUCAUCUCAUUAGAUACAGAAUUGCAAA